rnacentral:rRNA from 1 species
UGUGUAGGCGGUUGCUUAAGUUUGGUGUGAAAUCUCCCGGCUCAACUGGGAGGGUGCGCCGAAUACUGAGUAACUAGAGUGCGGGAGAGGAAAGUGGAAUUCCUGGUGUAGCGGUGAAAUGCGUAGAUAUCAGGAGGAACACCGGUGGUGUAGACGGCUUUCUGGACCGUAACUGACGCUGAGACACGAAAGCGUGGGUAGCAAACAGGAUUAGAUACCCUGGUAGUCCACGCCCUAAACGACGCACAUUUGGUGUGGGUCGAUUCAGUUGAUCCGUGCCGGAGCUAACGCGUUAAAUGUGCCGCCUGGGAGUACAGUCGCAAGGCUGAA